rnacentral:misc_RNA from 1 species
GAUGAAGAACGCAGCGAAAUGCGAUAAGUAGUGUGAAUUGCAGAAUUCAGUGAAUCAUCGAAUCUUUGAACGCACAUUGCGCCCUUUGGUAUUCCUUAGGGCAUGCCUGUUCGAGCGUCAUAUUAACCACUCCCGCUUGCGGGGUCUUGGGCUUCGCCUCCGGGCGGGCCUUAAAAUCAGUGGCGGUGCCGUCGGGCUCUACGCGUAGUAAAUUUUCUCGCGAUAGGGUCCCGGUGGAUGCUUGCCAACAACCCCCAACUUCUUAAGGUUGACCUCGGAUCAGGUAGGGAUACCCGCUGAACUUAAGCAUAUCAAUAAGCGGAGGA